UAAGUUAUUAAGGGCGCACGGUGGAUGCCUUGGCACUAGAAGCCGAUGAAGGACGUUACUAACGACGAUAUGCUUUGGGGAGCUGUAAGUAAGCUUUGAUCCAGAGAUUUCCGAAUGGGGAAACCCAGCAUGAGUUAUGUCAUGUUAUCGAUAUGUGAAUACAUAGCAUAUCAGAAGGCACACCCGGAGAACUGAAACAUCUUAGUACCCGGAGGAAGAGAAAGAAAAUUCGAUUCCCUUAGUAGCGGCGAGCGAAACGGGAAGAGCCCAAACCAACAAGCUUGCUUGUUGGGGUUGUAGGACACUCUAUACGGAGUUACAAAGGACGACAUUAGACGAAUCAUCUGGAAAGAUGAAUCAAAGAAGGUAAUAAUCCUGUAGUCGAAAAUGUUGUCUCUCUUGAGUGGAUCCUGAGUACGACGGAGCACGUGAAAUUCCGUCGGAAUCUGGGAGGACCAUCUCCUAAGGCUAAAUACUCUCUAGUGACCGAUAGUGAACCAGUACCGUGAGGGAAAGGUGAAAAGCACCCCGGAAGGGGAGUGAAAUAGAACCUGAAACCGUGUGCUUACAAGUAGUCAGAGCCCGUUAAUGGGUGAUGGCGUGCCUUUUGUAGAAUGAACCGGCGAGUUACGAUUUGAUGCAAGGUUAAGCAGUAAAUGUGGAGCCGUAGCGAAAGCGAGUCUGAAUAGGGCGUUUAGUAUUUGGUCGUAGACCCGAAACCAGGUGAUCUACCCUUGGUCAGGUUGAAGUUCAGGUAACACUGAAUGGAGGACCGAACCGACUUACGUUGAAAAGUGAGCGGAUGAACUGAGGGUAGCGGAGAAAUUCCAACCGAACCUGGAGAUAGCUGGUUCUCUCCGAAAUAGCUUUAGGGCUAGCCUCAAGUGAUGAUUAUUGGAGGUAGAGCACUGUUUGGACGAGGGGCCCCUCUCGGGUUACCGAAUUCAGACAAACUCCGAAUGCCAAUUAAUUUAACUUGGGAGUCAGAACAUGGGUGAUAAGGUCCGUGUUCGAAAGGGAAACAGCCCAGACCACCAGCUAAGGUCCCAAAAUAUAUGUUAAGUGGAAAAGGAUGUGGCGUUGCCCAGACAACUAGGAUGUUGGCUUAGAAGCAGCCAUCAUUUAAAGAGUGCGUAAUAGCUCACUAGUCGAGUGACACUGCGCCGAAAAUGUACCGGGGCUAAACAUAUUACCGAAGCUGUGGAUUGUCCUUUGGACAAUGGUAGGAGAGCGUUCUAAGGGCGUUGAAGCAUGAUCGUAAGGACAUGUGGAGCGCUUAGAAGUGAGAAUGCCGGUGUGAGUAGCGAAAGACGGGUGAGAAUCCCGUCCACCGAUUGACUAAGGUUUCCAGAGGAAGGCUCGUCCGCUCUGGGUUAGUCGGGUCCUAAGCUGAGGCCGACAGGCGUAGGCGAUGGAUAACAGGUUGAUAUUCCUGUACCACCUAUAAUCGUUUUAAUCGAUGGGGGGACGCAGUAGGAUAGGCGAAGCGUGCGAUUGGAUUGCACGUCUAAGCAGUAAGGCUGAGUAUUAGGCAAAUCCGGUACUCGUUAAGGCUGAGCUGUGAUGGGGAGAAGACAUUGUGUCUUCGAGUCGUUGAUUUCACACUGCCGAGAAAAGCCUCUAGAUAGAAAAUAGGUGCCCGUACCGCAAACCGACACAGGUAGUCAAGAUGAGAAUUCUAAGGUGAGCGAGCGAACUCUCGUUAAGGAACUCGGCAAAAUGACCCCGUAACUUCGGGAGAAGGGGUGCUCUUUAGGGUUAACGCCCAGAAGAGCCGCAGUGAAUAGGCCCAAGCGACUGUUUAUCAAAAACACAGGUCUCUGCUAAACCGUAAGGUGAUGUAUAGGGGCUGACGCCUGCCCGGUGCUGGAAGGUUAAGAGGAGUGGUUAGCUUCUGCGAAGCUACGAAUCGAAGCCCCAGUAAACGGCGGCCGUAACUAUAACGGUCCUAAGGUAGCGAAAUUCCUUGUCGGGUAAGUUCCGACCCGCACGAAAGGCGUAACGAUUUGGGCACUGUCUCAACGAGAGACUCGGUGAAAUCAUAGUACCUGUGAAGAUGCAGGUUACCCGCGACAGGACGGAAAGACCCCGUGGAGCUUUACUGUAGCCUGAUAUUGAAAUUCGGCACAGCUUGUACAGGAUAGGUAGGAGCCUUUGAAACGUGAGCGCUAGCUUACGUGGAGGCGCUGGUGGGAUACUACCCUAGCUGUGUUGGCUUUCUAACCCGCACCACUUAUCGUGGUGGGAGACAGUGUCAGGCGGGCAGUUUGACUGGGGCGGUCGCCUCCUAAAAGGUAACGGAGGCGCUCAAAGGUUCCCUCAGAAUGGUUGGAAAUCAUUCAUAGAGUGUAAAGGCAUAAGGGAGCUUGACUGCGAGACCUACAAGUCGAGCAGGGUCGAAAGACGGACUUAGUGAUCCGGUGGUUCCGCAUGGAAGGGCCAUCGCUCAACGGAUAAAAGCUACCCCGGGGAUAACAGGCUUAUCUCCCCCAAGAGUUCACAUCGACGGGGAGGUUUGGCACCUCGAUGUCGGCUCAUCGCAUCCUGGGGCUGUAGUCGGUCCCAAGGGUUGGGCUGUUCGCCCAUUAAAGCGGUACGCGAGCUGGGUUCAGAACGUCGUGAGACAGUUCGGUCCCUAUCCGUCGUGGGCGUAGGAAAUUUGAGAGGAGCUGUCCUUAGUACGAGAGGACCGGGAUGGACAUACCUCUGGUGUACCAGUUGUCGUGCCAACGGCAUAGCUGGGUAGCUAUGUGUGGACGGGAUAAGUGCUGAAAGCAUCUAAGCAUGAAGCCCCCUCAAGAUGAGAUUUCCCAACUCCGGUUAUAAGACCCCUCAAAGAUGAUGAGGUUAAUAGGUUCGAGGUGGAAGCAUGGUGACAUGUGGAGCUGACGAAUACUAAUCGAUCGAAGACUUAAUCA
rnacentral:rRNA from 1 species